UGUGGCCAAGCUGGAAAGGGUGUACGGUGGAUGCCUUGGCGAGACAUGGCGAUGAAGGGCGUGGCAAACUGCGAUAAUCCCCGGGGAGGCGUAAGCAGCCCGUGAUCCGGGGGUUCCCGAAUGGGGCAACCCGGCCUGCCGCAAGGCGGGUCACUCUUCCGUCGAAAGGCGGGAGAGGGCGAACGGGGGGAAGUGAACCAUCUCAGUACCCCCAGGAAAAGAAAGAAAACUCGAUUCCCUCAGUAGCGGCGAGCGAACGGGGAACAGCUCAAACCGUGCGGCGGUAAUAGCGCAGGCGCGUUCGUCGCGCGGGGUUGCAGGGCCCGGCAUGGAGAGGCCUGUCUCUCCGGCAGGUGUACAAUCUUCCCGACAAGCCGAACGGUCUGGAAAGACCGACCAGAGAAGGUGAAAGUCCUGUAGGCGAAUGUCGAGGAAGGCCUGCGUCGGGUUCCUGAGUAGCACGGAGGAACCGAGAAGCUCUGUGCGAAUCCGGGAGGACCACCUCCCAAAGCUAAAUACACGGUCUCGACCGAUAGUGAACUAGUACCGCGAGGGAAAGGCGAAAAGAACCCCGGGAGGGGAGUGAAAUAGAACCUGAAACCGUGCACCUACAAGCAGUCGGAGUUCGCCGCAAGGCGAAUGACGGCGUGCCUAUUGAAGAAUGAGCCUGCGAGUUACUGGCUGUGGCAAGGUUAAUCCGUUGAAGCGGAGGAGCCGCAGCGAAAGCGAGUGGUCCGAAAAGGGCCCAUCAGUCGCAGUCAGUAGACCCGAAGCUGAGCGAUCUACCCAUGACCAGGAUGAACCCGCCGUAACAGGCGGGGGAGGUCCGAACCGGUGAUUGUUGCAAAAAUCUCGGAUGAGUUGUGGGUAGGAGUGAAAGGCUAAUCAAGCUCAGUUAUUGCUGGUUCUCCCCGAAAUGACUUUAGGGUCAGCCUCACCGCACAGGACAGCGGGGGUAGAGCAACUGAUCGAGCAAGGGGGGAGUUCUCCCCCCAAGUUCUUUCAAACUCCGAAUACCGCUGCACCUUUUGGUGGGAGUGAGACAGUGAGGGCUAAGCUUCAUUGUCGAGAGGGAUUCAGCCCAGACCAUCAGAUAAGGCCCCUCAGUCCAUGCUAAGUGGUAAAGGAGGUGGAGUCGCAGAGACAACCAGGAGGUUGGCUUAGAAGCAGCCAUCCUUUAAAGAAAGCGUAACAGCUCACUGGUCAAUGCGACUCUGCGCCAACAAUCCAACGGGGCUCAAGCAUGGCGCCGAAUCUAUGGGUUGAGCCGCCUUCGGGCGGCGCGACGGUAGGGGAGCAUUCCCCGGCAGCGAAGAUUCUCCGUAAGGAGGGUUGGAGCCAGGGGAAGAGAGAAUGCAGGCAUGAGUAGCGAAAAGGCCGAUGAGAAUUCGGCCCGCCGAAAGUCUAAGGUUUCCUGGGGAAGGUUCGUCCGCCCAGGGUUAGGCGGGAGCUUAGCCGAGGCCGAAAGGCGUAGGCGAUGCACAGCUGGUUAAUAUUCCAGCCCCACCGGGAACGCGUUAUCAGCGAAGGGGGGACGGAGCGGGAUAGGUCAGCCGGUGACUGGUCGUACCGGUUCAACCCCUGAGGUUCGCCUGUGGCAAAUCCAUGGGCAUCAGGACCGACGGGGGAGUACGAGCCCGACCGCAAGGAAGGGCGAAGUGGUCGAGUCACGCUUCCAAGAAAAGCCUCGUAGCGAGCGUUUUCGGUGCCCGUACCGCAAACCGACACAGGUAGACUGGGGGAAUACCCCAAGGCGCGCGAAAGAACCCUCACUAAGGAACUCGGCAAAUUAACCCCGUAACUUCGGAAGAAGGGGUGCCUGAGUAGGGUGAUGUUUACCCAUAGCAAAGCCCGAAAAGGCCGCAGUGAAAUGGCUCCUGCGACUGUUUACCAAAAACACAGGACUCUGCGAACCCGUAAGGGGACGUAUAGGGUCUGACAAGUGCCCGGCGCCGGAAGGUUAAGGGGAGUUGUCAUCUGCCGCAAGGUGGAGAAGCAACAAUCCUAAGCCCCGGCAAGCGGCGGCCGUAACUAUAACGGUCCUAAGGUAUGCGGAACGCUAGCCUUAGCAAAACCGAACCAUAUGCGGGAAUCUCCUCAACAGCCAGCCGGUACUCGCCCGAAAGAUGGGGCAGUAACAAACCGGCGGACACGGGGACAAUCCGCAGGAAAGACCCGCUUCUGGCGGGAAUCCUCAGAGACUUGAUGUUCGGGAGAGCCUAUGAGACUCGAUGCGCAGUGGGUGGCCGGAUUUGUCGACGGAGAGGGAUGUUUCCAUGUGAGCAUCGUCCCUCAUCCCGAGAUGACGGCCGGAGUGCAGGUGCUUCCUGAAUUCACGGUUGUGCAGCACCAGCGGAACAUUCAGGUUCUGCAUGCGCUGAAAGCGUACUUUCGGUGCGGCGUGGUUCGAAGGAAUCACGGCGACUGGAUGUGCUACCGCGUGCGGAAUCUCAAACACCUGUCGGAGAUCAUCAUCCCGUUUUUUGACAGGCAUCCGCUG
rnacentral:rRNA from 1 species